rnacentral:rRNA from 1 species
GACGAACGCUGACGGCGUGCUUAACACAUGCAAGUCGAACGGAAAGGCCUCUUUCGGGGGGUACUCGAGUGGCGAACGGGUGAGUAACACGUGAGUAACCUGCCCUUUACUUUGGGAUAACUUCAGGAAACUGGGGCUAAUACCGGAUAGGAGCUCCUGCUGCAUGGUGGGGGUUGGAAAGUUUCGGCGGUUGGGGAUGGACUCGCGGCUUAUCAGCUUGUUGGUGGGGUAGUGGCUUACCAAGGCUUUGACGGGUAGCCGGCCUGGGAGGGUGACCGGCCACAUUGGGACUGAGAUACGGCCCAGGCUCCGACGGGAGGCAGCAGUGGGGAAGAUUGAACAAUGGGUGGAAGCCGGAUGCAGCAACGCCGUGGGCGGGAGGACGGCCUUGGGGUUGUAAACCGCUUUCGCUCAUGACGAAGCUUUGUGUGACGGUAGUGGGUAAAGAAGCACCGGCUAACUACGUG